rnacentral:pre_miRNA from 1 species
GGAAAUUAACUACCGUUGGAUCAAAAAAUGGACGUCCGAGAUUCAGCCAUGUCACCAUCAGUAAAAAAUUUACUCUCAAAUUUUACUCAUGGUGACGUGGAUGAAUCUUGGACGUUCAUUUUUUUAUUCAAGGGUAGUUUUCAAGUUUCC